AGUCAUAUGCUUGUCUCAAAGAUUAAGCCAUGCAUGUCUCAGUACAAGCCAAAUUAAGGUGAAACCGCGAAAGGCUCAUUAAAUCAGUUAUGGUUCCUUAGAUCGUACCCACAUUUACUUGGAUAACUGUGGUAAUUCUAGAGCUAAUACAUGCAAACAGAGCUCCGACCGGAGACGGAAGGAGCGCUUUUAUUAGAUCAAAACCAAUCGGCGGCGAGUUCGCUCGUCGUCGUACAAUUUGGUGAAUCUGAAUAACUUUCUGCUGAUCGCAUGGUCUCGCACCGGCGACGCAUCUUUCAAAUGUCUGCCUUAUCAACUGUCGAUGGUAGGUUCUGCGCCUACCAUGGUUGUAACGGGUAACGGGGAAUCAGGGUUCGAUUCCGGAGAGGGAGCCUGAGAAACGGCUACCACAUCCAAGGAAGGCAGCAGGCGCGCAAAUUACCCACUCCCGGCACGGGGAGGUAGUGACGAAAAAUAACGAUACGGGACUCAUCCGAGGCCCCGUAAUCGGAAUGAGUACACUCUAAACCCUUUAACGAGGAUCAAUUGGAGGGCAAGUCUGGUGCCAGCAGCCGCGGUAAUUCCAGCUCCAAUAGCGUAU
rnacentral:rRNA from 1 species